rnacentral:rRNA from 1 species
AUUGAACGCUGGCGGCAGGCCUAACACAUGCAAGUCGAGCGGUAGAGCGAAGCUUGCUUCUCUUGAGAGCGGCGGACGGGUGAGUAAUGCCUAGGAAUCUGCCUGGUAGUGGGGGAUAACGUUCGGAAACGGACGCUAAUACCGCAUACGUCCUACGGGAGAAAGCAGGUGACCUUCGGGCCUUGCGCUAUCAGAUGAGCCUAGGUCGGAUUAGCUAGUUGGUGGGGUAAUGGCUCACCAAGGCGACGAUCCGUAACUGGUCUGAGAGGAUGAUCAGUCACACUGGAACUGAGACACGGUCCAGACUCCUACGGGAGGCAGCAGUGGGGAAUAUUGGACAAUGGGCGAAAGCCUGAUCCAGCCAUGCCGCGUGUGUGAAGAAGGUCUUCGGAUUGUAAAGCACUUUUAGUUGGGAGGAAGGGCAGUAGAUUAAUACUUUGCUGUUUUGACGGUACCGACAGAAUAAGCACCGGCUAACUCUGUG